GAAAAAUAAAUUCAUCACCCAAUGUUAAUACUACUGCAUCAGGUGUUGAAGACCUUAACAUCAUUCAGGUGACAAUUCCAGAUGAUGAUAAUGAAAGACUCUCGAAAGUUGAAAAAGCUAGACAGCUAAGAGAACAAGUGAAUGACCUCUUUAGUCGGAAAUUUGGUGAAGCUAUUGGUAUGGGUUUUCCUGUGAAAGUUCCCUACAGGAAAAUCACAAUUAACCCUGGCUGUGUGGUGGUUGAUGGCAUGCCCCCGGGGGUGUCCUUCAAAGCCCCCAGCUACCUGGAAAUCAGCUCCAUGAGAAGGAUCUUAGACUCUGCCGAGUUUAUCAAAUUCACGGUCAUUAGGUAAGUGAGAGUUUCCUGCUUAGUCACAGGAGCGAAUCUGGAGCUCAUGAGGCUGACUCUUCUAAAAUGCAGCCACAGGUAGUCAUCGAAUCCGGCUUCCUAUGCUGUGCAAUCAACAAAUCAAAAUAACUUGUGUCAUCAUUAGAAUGUCAGAUGUGCUUCUACGAACUAAGCUGACUCUUUUAAUUCUUUGGCAAAGGGUUGGCAAACUAGGACUGUUUGCCAAAUUCAGCCUGCCUCCUAUUUUUAGAGUCUUCCUGAAACACAGCUACACCCGUAUUAUCCAUGGCUGCUUUCCUGUCACAGUGAGUAAGUAGCUGGGACUGAGAUGGCAUGGCCUCCAAAGUCUAAAAUAUUUACUCUCUAGCACUUUGUAGAAAAACCUUAGCUAGGCACAGUGGCUAACGCCUGUAAUCCCAGCAUUUUGGGAGGCCAAGGCAGGCAGAUCACCUGAGGUCAGGAGUUCCAGACCAGCCUGGCCAACAUGGUGAAAUCCCAUCUCUACAAAAAU
rnacentral:sRNA from 1 species